AGAAUAUGCACACAAGUAAGCGUAUAAAAAGAAUGAAAAAUGGAAAGAAGAAAAACAUAAGGUAAUACCCUGCUGUUUCUCUUGUUUCCUGUGAGGUUUCAUAUGCCCAAGAUCAGUCACUGAACUAAGAACUAAGAGCAGCAGCAGUUACACAAAAAACAAAUCUGAAGAAAAAGACAAAAAAAAAAAAAAAACACAGUUGAGCUAGCUGAAGCAGCAGCAGCAGCUCAUCUUUAACACAUCACAAACCAUCAUAAUUGGUAACGUCAUUGUGAGCUCUUGAUCUACCUGUAAAUCUUCUAAAAACGAUAUUCGAUGUUUGAGCGCAUUUGCAGAAGAAGCCCUUUAAAGUAGAGUUUUGUUUUUGUAGCUGCUGUUUAAAUAUUGGUGACACUAAAAUAUUCACAACUAACCAACAAAGUGGCUGGGAAAUGGUAGUUUUGAAGCAGCUAUAUGCACAAAAUUUAAAAUGUAAUUUACAAAAGUUAUUGGCGG